AUUGAACGCUGGCGGCAUGCCUUACACAUGCAAGUCGAACGGUAACAGGUUAAGCUGACGAGUGGCGAACGGGUGAGUAAUGUAUCGGAACGUGCCUAGUCGUGGGGGAUAACGUAGCGAAAGCUACGCUAAUACCGCAUACGAUCCAUGGAUGAAAGCGGGGGACCUUCGGGCCUCGCGCGAUUAGAGCGGCCGAUAUCAGAUUAGGUAGUUGGUGGGGUAAAGGCCCACCAAGCCGACGAUCUGUAGCUGGUCUGAGAGGACGACCAGCCACACUGGGACUGAGACACGGCCCAGACUCCUACGGGAGGCAGCAGUGGGGAAUUUUGAACAAUGGGCGCAAGCCUGAUCCAGCAAUGCCGCGUGCAGGAUGAAGGCCUUCGGGUUGUAAACUGCUUUUGUACGGAGCGAAAAGGCUCUCUCUAAUAAAGGGGGCUCAUGACGGUACCGUAAGAAUAAGCACCGGCUAACUACGUG
rnacentral:rRNA from 1 species